rnacentral:rRNA from 1 species
AUUGAACGCUAGCGGGAUGCUUUACACAUGCAAGUCGAACGAGUGGGGACGGGUGAGUAACACGUGGGUAACCUCCCAUCAGAGGGGAUAACACUUGGAAACAGGUGCUAAACCGAUACUGAUGGAUGGACCCGCGGUGCAUUAGCUAGUUGGUGAGGUAACGGCUCACCAAGGCCACGAUGCAUAGCCGACCUGAGAGGGGGAGCGGCCACGCUGGGGUUGAGACACGGCCCAGACUCCUACGGGAGGCAUCAGUAGGGAAUCUUCGGCAAUGGACGAAAGUCUGACCGCGCGACGCCGCGUGAGAGAAGAAGGUUUUCGGACGGUAAAACUCUGUUGUUCGAGAAGCGGUAUCUAACCAGAAAGCCACGGCUAACUACGUGCCAGCAGCCGCGGUAAUAC